UACGUAGGGGGCAAGCGUUGUCCGGAAUCAUUGGGCGUAAAGAGCGUGUAGGCGGUCCGGUCAGUCGGUUGUGAAAGUCAAGGGCUCAACCCUUGAAUGCCGGCCGAUACUGCCGGGCUAGAGUCCGGAAGAGGUGAGUGGAAUUCCUGGUGUAGCGGUGAAAUGCGCAGAUAUCAGGAGGAACACCGAUGGCGAAGGCGGGUCUCUGGGCCGAUACUGACGCUGAGGAGCGAAAGCGUGGGGAGCGAACAGG
rnacentral:rRNA from 1 species